rnacentral:rRNA from 1 species
UACGGGGGGGGCAAGCGUUGUUCGGAAUUACUGGGCGUAAAGGGCUCGUAGGCGGCCAACUAAGUCAGACGUGAAAUCCCUCGGCUUAACCGGGGAACUGCGUCUGAUACUGGAUGGCUUGAGAUUGGGAGAGGGAUGCGGAAUUCCAGGUGUAGCGGUGAAAUGCGUAGAUAUUGGGAGGAACACCAGUGGCGAAGGCGGCUCGCUGGACCGGUUCUGACGCUGAGGCGCGAAAGCGUGGGGAGCAAACAGG